AACGAACGCUGGCGGCAUGCCCAACACAUGCAAGUCGAACGAGACCUUCGGGUCUAGUGGCGCACGGGUGCGUAACGCGUGGGAACCUGCCUUUAGGUUCGGAAUAACUCAGAGAAAUUUGAGCUAAUACCGGAUGAUGUCUUCGGACCAAAGAUUUAUCGCCUUUAGAUGGGCCCGCGUUGGAUUAGCUAGUUGGUGGGGUAAAGGCCUACCAAGGCGACGAUCCAUAGCUGGUCUGAGAGGAUGAUCAGCCACACUGGGACUGAGACACGGCCCAGACUCCUACGGGAGGCGGCAGUGGGGAAUAUUGGACAAUGGGCGAAAGCCUGAUCCAGCAAUGCCGGGUGAGUGAUGAAGGCCUUAGGGUUGUAAAGCUCUUUUACCCGAGAUGAUAAUGACAGUAUCGGGAGAAUAAGCUCCGGCUAACUCCGUG
rnacentral:rRNA from 1 species